rnacentral:misc_RNA from 1 species
CAAACAUCUCUGUCGUAUGACUAUUCAGUCAGAAUCAAAUUUGAUAAUAAUAAUAAUAAUAAACAAACAAACACUAGAGAGACUACAAGUAGUGCCAUAUCCAUAAUACGCAUAUUAACAAGUACAACUUUUUCUGCUUUUUGCUCGCUCUUUUUAUUCGACACAGCCCUAUGUACAACUCUACUUGCCCACUUUGGUCGACUAAGAAGGUUAUUGUAGCGAAUUAUAGUGAACUACUUCCCGG